rnacentral:rRNA from 1 species
UGGGGAAUAUUGCACAAUGGGCGCAAGCCUGAUGCAGCCAUGCCGCGUGUAUGAAGAAGGCCUUCGGGUUGUAAAGCACUUUCAGCGGGGAGGAAGGCGAUAAGGUUAAUAACCUUGUCGAUUGACGUUACCCGCAGAAGAAGCACCGGCUAACUCCGUGCCAGCAGCCGCGGUAAUACGGAGGGUGCAAGCGUUAAUCGGAAUUACUGGGCGUAAAGCGCACGCAGGCGGUUUGUUAAGUCAGAUGUGAAAUCCCCGGGCUCAACCUGGGAACUGCAUCUGAUACUGGCAAGCUUGAGUCUCGGAGAGGGGGGUAGAAUUCCAGGUGUAGCGGUGAAAUGCGUAGAGAUCUAGAGGAAUACCGGUGGCGAAGGCGGCCCCCUGGACGAAGACUGACGCUCAGGUGCGAAAGCGUGGGGAGCAAACAGG